rnacentral:rRNA from 1 species
AGAGUUUGAUCAUGGCUCAGGAUGAACGCUAGCUACAGGCUUAACACAUGCAAGUCGAGGGGCAGCAUGUUGGUUGCUUGCAACCAACGAUGGCGACCGGCGCACGGGUGAGUAACGCGUAUCCAACCUACCCUUGUCCAUCGGAUAACCCGUCGAAAGGCGGCCUAACACGAUAUGCGGUUCACAGCAGGCAUCUAACGUGAACGAAAUGUAAAGGAGAAGGAUGGGGAUGCGUCUGAUUAGCUUGGUUGGCGGGGUAACGGCCACCAAGGCUACGAUCAGUAGGGGUUCUGAGAGGAAGGUCCCCCANAUUGGAACUGAGACACGGUCCAAACUCUACGGGAGGCA